GCACAAGCGGUGGAUGAUGUGGAUUAAUUCGAUGCAACGCGAAAAACCUUACCUACCCUUGACAUGUUCGGAAUUCUGCAGAGAUGCGGAAGUGCUCGAAAGAGAACCGGAACACAGGUGCUGCAUGGCUGUCGUCAGCUCGUGUCGUGAGAUGUUGGGUUAAGUCCCGCAACGAGCGCAACCCUUAUCAUUAGUUGCUACGCAAGGGCACUCUAAUGAGACUGCCGGUGACAAACCGGAGGAAGGUGGGGAUGACGUCAAGUCCUCAUGGCCCUUAUGGGUAGGGCUUCACACGUCAUACAAUGGUCGGUACAGAGGGCUGCCAACCCGCAAGGGGGAGCCAAUCCUUUAAAACCGAUCGUAGUCCGGAUUGAGGUCUGCAACUCGACCUCAUGAAGUCGGAAUCGCUAGUAAUCGCGGAUCAGCAUGUCGCGGUGAAUACGUUCCCGGGUCUUGUACACACCGCCCGUCACACCAUGGGAGCGGGUUUUACCAGAAGUAG
rnacentral:rRNA from 1 species